UACGUAGGGUGCAAGCGUUGUCCGGAAUUAUUGGGCGUAAAGGGCUCGUAGGCGGUUUGUCGCGUCGGGGAGUGAAAACUCAGGGCUUAACCCUGAGCCUGCUUCCGAUACGGGCAGACUAGAGGUAUGCAGGGGAGAAUGGAAUUCCUGGUGUAGCGGUGAAAUGCGCAGAUAUCAGGAGGAACACCGGUGGCGAAGGCGGUUCUCUGGGCAUUACCUGACGCUGAGGAGCGAAAGUGUGGGGAGCGAACAGG
rnacentral:rRNA from 1 species